UCGUCGAUCUGCUGCGGGCAGAUGUAAUGGAUAUGGCUGUCGAAGCCGCCCGCGGUCAGGAUCCGCCCCUCGCCGGCGAUCGCCUCGGUCCCCGGGCCGAUCACGAUGUCGACGCCGGGCUGGGUGUCGGGAUUGCCGGCCUUGCCGAUGGCGGCGAUGCGUCCGUCCCGCAGGCCCACAUCGGCCUUGUAGAUGCCCGUCCAGUCCACGAUCAGCGCGUUGGUGAUGACGGUAUCGACCGCGCCCUCGGCCCGGCUGCGCUGGGACUGGCCCAUCCCGUCGCGG
rnacentral:sRNA from 1 species